GCCUGGUUAGCUCAAUCGGUAGAGCGUGAGACUCUUAGGUUUCACUUUCUCAGAAAGCGAUUGAUCCAAUCUCAAGGUUGCGGGUUCGACCCCCGCAUCGGGCU
rnacentral:tRNA from 1 species